UUUGGGUUACACUUACUUGAAGGUAUCUACAUAAGAGUGACAUGACACUGUCAUGAACGUGUCAAACAUAAAUGAGUCAAACAUUUAUGAUAUAAUGCUGCUUUUAGUGUCAUUCGGUUUUUUGUCAUGACUAGUUAUG